rnacentral:rRNA from 1 species
CCUGGCUCAGGAUGAACGCUAGCGGCAGGCUUAACACAUGCAAGUCGAGGGGUAACAGGGAGUAGCAAUACUCUGCUGACGACCGGCGCACGGGUGCGUAACGCGUAUGCAACCUACCUUGUACAGGGGGAUAACGGGAUGAAAAUUCCACUAAUAUCCCAUAGUGUCAUGGGACCGCAUGGUUCUAUGACUAAAGCUACGGCGGUGCAAGAUGGGCAUGCGUGACAUUAGGUAGUUGGCGGGGCAACGGCCCACCAAGCCGACGAUGUCUAGGGGAGCUGAGAGGCUUAUCCCCCACACUGGUACUGAGACACGGACCAGACUCCUACGGGAGGCAGCAGUGAGGAAUAUUGGUCAAUGGACGGAAGUCUGAACCAGCCAUGCCGCGUGGAGGAAGAAGGUCCUAUGGGUUGUAAACUCCUUUUGUUCCGGAGUAAUAAGGUCUUUGCGAAGACCGAUGAGAGUACGGGACGAAUAAGCAUCGGCUAACUCCGUGCC